rnacentral:rRNA from 1 species
UACGAAGGGGGCUAGCGUUGCUCGGAAUCACUGGGCGUAAAGCGCACGUAGGCGGCUUCUUAAGUCAGGGGUGAAAUCCUGGAGCUCAACUCCAGAACUGCCUUUGAUACUGAGGAGCUUGAGUCCGGGAGAGGUGAGUGGAACUGCGAGUGUAGAGGUGAAAUUCGUAGAUAUUCGCAAGAACACCUGCGGCGAAGGCGGCUCACUGGCCCGAUACUGACGCUGAGGCACGAAAGCGUGGGGAGCAAACAGG